UACAGAGGUGGCGAGCGUUAUUCGGAAUUAUUGGGCGUAAAGGGCGCGUAGGCGGCCCCGUAAGUCAACGGUGAAAUCCCUCGGCUCAACCGAGGACGUGCCGUUGAUACUGCAGGGCUCGAGGCCGGGAGAGGGUAGUGGAAUUCCCAGUGUAGCGGUGAAAUGCGUAGAUAUUGGGAGGAACACCGGUGGCGAAGGCGGCUACCUGGACCGGUUCUGACGCUGAGGCGCGAAAGCGUGGGGAGCAAACAGG
rnacentral:rRNA from 1 species